CUGCCGCUAGCCGCUGCACCGAGGGCUAGCGGCCGCCAGCGCCGGAGGACGCGGGGUAUUGGGCAGAGCUCCGGACUCCAGCGCCCGAAGGCCCGACAGCGCUCUGGGAAGCUCCCAGGGCCUCACACGAACCCCGGGCCCUGACGCUCUUGAAGUUGCACACGGAGAUUCAAGUGCAUGGAAAGUGGGAUGUUUUCUUAAUAAAAGGCCCAGAAACCCUUCAGGGCCAAGGGAGCUGAAUAAGAACCAGAGCCUGGCGUCGGGAAGCUAAGGUUUCUUGAAAAUGUUUAUGGAUCGCGCGGGGCUGUGGCUUCAGGUCUCAGAACAUCAAGGCACAGCCACUUCCUUCAGGGAACUCGGUCCCACCAGGGAAACACAAAGAUACAACCUCAUUGGAGCCUGACACAUCCGCUGCAUGUAAUUAAUGUCUUACAAGAGAAAAGUGAAGGGAGACAGCGUGCAUGCCGGGUUCCAAGGCGACCUGCCCAACACCCCGGUCACCAUCCCAGCCACAGGAGGCGGAAGCUGCCGGCAAUUUAAGGAUCUGCUGACUCCAUUCCCACAAUUCAUCCUUGGGCGAUUCCCCAAGGCCAACAAGAGCUACUCAAGAGGGUGCCUGCUGCUGGUAUAUUAGAAGACAGUAUGGUGGACAGUGUGGCUCGUUUUAAAUGAUCUGUAUGUGACCAGAAGGAAACAGACCAACUGCUAACAAGUCUUCUCUAUAAGCACCCAGAUUAAGUGGUUUUUGUAUUUUUGUCUAAUUUUUAUGUUCUUCAGGCUUUCUAGCACAAGUAGACAGUUGAUAAAGCUCAAACAUGUCAUUUUAAAUGGUCUUUAAAGGAGUCUAUAGAAACAAUUUGCUGUCUCCUGAGAAUAUCAUUCUAAAAAGUAUACGUAUUAUGGCCAUAAGUGAACCAUGUUGUGUGCAAAACCAGGUAAGCCCACAGUGAAUGACGAACCGGAAAAUAUCUGUGAAAAACUCUUUGUCUCUUCUAUAUUGUAAACUGGGCCAACUGCUUCUCUGUUCUCCAUUUUUAUUAUCCAGAUGGUGCUGUGUCCUUCCACUGGCUGCUUCGUUCUUGAAGAAGAUUACAGAGCAAGCCACUAGCAGAAGCAAUAAUGACAUUAGUGCACCUUUCCACUGGAUUGUCAUGUCUCUUUUGAGGAAGAAAAAGUACAAGCUUUAUGCUGGAUUCAUCCCCCUCACUUCUGUCUUCAAGUCAAGAUAAAAUGCUGACAAUGAGCUAGAACAGAUGAUGUACUCGAAAUGGCUGAGAAGUCAUUAACUAGCAAAAACCAGUUCAAAGGACAGGAAGAAAUAACUUGUUAUGGAUUGAGAGACAGGAGACAGGACUUUCACUUUCCACAAGUAACUUUCUUCCCUGGCCUCAGGCUCUCUUGAAAAAACAACCUAUAACUAAUUCUUGGGGAAGGGGGGGUGCCUUGGGGUGGAAGAACAAUUUGCUCAAACUUGGAAAACACAAAUGGUCAUUUAAACUGUCAAUAUCCAAAGAUUCAAAGAACCCAGGAUGGGGCAAAAAAGCAGCUCAGAGGGGCUUCUUCCUUUUUCAAUGCCAUUUGCCCAAACUCUAGUCAGUUACAGCUCUAUUGGAGACACUGGACCUCCUUGGCCUUCCCGGGGCCAUUUUUCUUCCUGGUCAUUUGGAUCAAGACAUUUCCACUUUGUUUAAUAAAUUUGUAGCUAUUGGAUGUGACCACGGGCUAACUCCUGUUCAUCUCUCAAGUCUUGGCUCCAAUGCCCUUUCCUCCAAGAGCUCCAUCUUGAUAAGUCAGGUCGAGGUCAUGGGAGCUAUGUGCUCCCCUCACAGAAUCCAGUACUUGGCUUAAUUCUCAUUCAUUCACCUGACAAGUGUUUCCGGCACUGAUGUGUGCAGUGCACUGGGGAUGGUUCCAGUGCUGGAGUGUUGUGGGAAUGAGAUCAAGUCCCUGCCUUCCUGGGCUGAGAGUACUGGGACAACAGAAAAGAAAUACCUGUAUUUUAUUAUUAAUAAGUGCUAUGGAGAAAAGACAAGACAAGGAGACAGAGGGGUCGAGGGUGAUGCUGAUUGAAAUGGAACAAUCAGGGAAGGCUUCUCUAAGAAGGUAAUAUUUGAACCAGGAAUAAAUAAUAUGAGUGAGCCUCACAAAGACUUGGGAGAGGGGCUGGAGGAGUAGCUCAGUGCUAGUGCACAUGCUCAGCAUAUGUAAGGCCUUGGGUUCUACACCCAGCACCAAAAAAAAAAAGUUCUUGGGAGACGUGUCCUAGGAGGAGAUAGGCCCUCUUCCUCACUCAACUCCCUGAGGGGUUGGUUGGUAGCAGCUGGCAUGCAGCAGAAGCUAGCACAUGAGAACUGGGCGGGGCGAGGUAGGGGGACGACUAAUGUCAUUCCCUCUUGCCCAACCACACACUCACUGUGUGUGUUACUCCUUUUAUCUAGAGUAUCCACUUCCCUUUGCUGCUACCCAAGUGCCUGCCUGCCUUCAGAUACCUCCGGAAUUGGUCUGCUGUCAAGCCAUGCCUGCUCCAGCCCCUGGCCUUGGACUCUUGUGUGCCACAAGAUUCCACAGUUGAUGUCGGGCACGGUGGCACAUGCCACUAAUUCUAGCGGCUCAGGAGGCUGAGGCAAGAGGAUAGCAAGUUCAAAACCAGCCUCAGUGACUCGGGGAGACUCUGUCUCUAAGUAAAAAUAUAAAAAAAGGCUGGGGAUGUGGCCCAGUGGUUAAGCACCCUUGGGUUCAAUCCUAAUCCCUGGUACCAAAAAAAAAAAAGAUUCCACAGCUGCCAUUCUGGGAGUGGCCCUUCAGGGGACCCCAGCGCUCCAACUCUGAAACCAUGUGAGCCCACCAGGGUGGACAGACAGCAACUGUGUUAUGAAAUCAUACAGUCACAUUCUUGGAUCAGGCUUGGUAAUCUCUCAGCCCCCAGAAAGGGAAGGACAGCACACCCACUCCAACACGCCCUCCAGGACUUGCAGGCAGGAGCCACAGGGCUUCCAGCUUGUAGGACUGUGCUGGUGGCAGCUGAGCACAUUUGCUCUGAACGUCUGCUAGCAGCUGCCACUCUCCAGCACUUGUGACAACAGCCCUGAUUCUGUGUGUUUGUAAGAUACAAUUCUGCUUGCAUUUCACUGCUCCACAGCCCCAGAG
rnacentral:lncRNA from 1 species